AGUAAAAUGGCUGAAAUUUAGGUGAUAGAUUGUAAAUCUAUUAAUGGAUAUUAAAUAUAUUCUUUUACUA
rnacentral:tRNA from 1 species